rnacentral:lncRNA from 1 species
GGACAGCGAGGGCCUGGGAAACGCGUGGAACACACGUCCCGGCUCGUUUUCCUCUCCCACUCUGAUAACCUGUGUUUCGAUACGAAACGGGCCCUGCCUCAUUAUUUGUCAUCUCCCUGGAGGUGACGGAGGGCUGUUUCAACCUCAGGGGAAAAGUUGCUGUACAGAACACAGGCCAGAGUGUGCCCCAAAGAAAUCAGGCGGUGGAGUGAUUUAAAAGUGAUCAUUUUCUGUAGUCCUAGCUACUCGGGAGGCUGAGGCAGGAAAAUCGCUUGAACCCGGGAGAAGAAGGAUGCAGUGAGCAGAGAUCGUGCCAUUGCACUUCAGCCUGGCGACAGAGCAAGACUCCGUCUCAAAAAGAAAAAAAAAAAGUGAUCAUUUUCAUGACUUGGACUAGGAAGAUCAACUGGGCACGGUGAUUCUUGCACAGAUUUUUAUAAGGAUCCUCCAAGUGUAACAACCAUUUGGAAAACUCCGGGCCUUGAGGACAGCCAGAGAAGAUAAGUUCAACUUGCACUUUGCCAGAGCAGGGGAUCUCCCUCAGCUCCCUGCCUUCAAACCUACCUUACAGACCUGCCUGGCCUGCACCUGAGCCACCCUCUUCUUCCUUCCUAUUCCCACUAAGGAGGUGUCCCUGCUUCCUUCAUAGUGGGUCCUUCCCCUGCACCGGGAAACAGGCCCUAGAGAUGACUCCAUGGGGUGAAGGACCAGAGCCUCCUUGCCUCUCUCUCUGUCUCUCUCUCCCUCUCUUGUCUUCCCAUGAAGCUCUGAUGUUUCCAGUACAAAAUAAACCUCGCUCAGUCCCA